rnacentral:misc_RNA from 1 species
ACCAAAGAAAGGUAGAGAAGGAGGAAAGAGAGAAUGGCAGCCUCAGUUAUGGCUUCGGUGAGCUUGAAACCAUCUACUUUCAGGGUUGAAAAAUCUUCAGUGAGAGGUCUUCCAACUCUCUCAAGGAGAAGUUUCAGAGUCGAGGCCAGUGCUCGCAAGAAGUUAAACACUGAUAAGCCAUAUGGAAUCAGUGGUGGCAUGAACCUCAGGAAUGGCGCUGAUGCCUCUGGAAGGAAGGCUAAGGGAAAGGGUGUAUACCAAUUUGUUGACAAAUAUGGAGCCAACGUGGAUGGAUACAGCCCUAUCUACGACACAAGGGACUGGUCUCCAAGUGGUGAUGUUUAUGUUGGGGGAACUACAGGUUUGGCAAUAUGGGCAGUGACACUAGCUGGGCUUCUUGCAGGAGGAGCUCUUCUUGUUUACAAUACAAGUGCUUUGGUACAGUAGCUUACUUCUAUUUUGGUUUUUGUUAAUUAUGUAUAAUUUUAUCUCCUCAACAAACUUCCCAAAACCAAUACCUUGUGCAUCCCUAUUUGUAAUUUCCUAUUUCCUAUGGACUUGG